AGCGAACGCUGGCGGCAGGCUUAACACAUGCAAGUCGAACGGGCGUAGCAAUACGUCAGUGGCAGACGGGUGAGUAACGCGUGGGAACGUACCUUUUGGUUCGGAACAACCCAGGGAAACUUGGGCUAAUACCGGAUAAGCCCUUACGGGGAAAGAUUUAUCGCCAAAAGAUCGGCCCGCGUCUGAUUAGCUAGUUGGUGAGGUAACGGCUCACCAAGGCGACGAUCAGUAGCUGGUCUGAGAGGANGAUCAGCCACAUUGGGACUGAGACACGGCCCAGACUCCUACGGGAGGCAGCAGUGGGGAAUAUUGGACAAUGGGCGCAAGCCUGAUCCAGCCACGCCGCGUGAGUGAUGAAGGCCUU
rnacentral:rRNA from 1 species